rnacentral:rRNA from 1 species
AGUGAACGCUGGCGGCGUGCCUAAUACAUGCAAGUCGAACGGAGUGGCGCACGGGUGAGUAAUAUAUAGCUAACCUGCCCCUUGCUGGCGGACAACAGUUAGAAAUGAAUGCUAAUACUCCAUAGCAAGAGCUGAUACUAUAUCGUAGCAGCUCGUCGGUGGGGUAACGGCAUACCGAGGCUAUGAAGCGUAACUGGUCUGAGAGGAUGAACAGUACAAUUGGAACUGAGACACGGUCCAAACUCCUACGGGAGGCAGCAGGAGGGAAUAUUGCGCAAUGGGGGGAACCCUGACGCAGCAACGCCGCGUGGAGGAUGACACUUUUCGGAGCGUAAACUCCUUUUGUUAGGGAAGCGGUACCUAACGAAUAAGCACCGGCUAACUCCGUGCCAGCCGCCGCGGUAAUUC